rnacentral:rRNA from 1 species
UCCGUAGGCGGGCAAUUAAGUCAGAGGUGAAAUCCCACAGCUCAACUGUGGAACUGCCUUUGAUACUGGUUGUCUUGAGUUAUAGUGAAGUAGAUAGAAUAUGUAGUGUAGCGGUGAAAUGCAUAGAUAUUACAUAGAAUACCGAUUGCGAAGGCAGUCUACUAACUGUAUACUGACGCUAAAGGACGAAAGCGUGGGGAGCGAACAGGAUUAGAUACCCUGGUAGUCC